UUAAAUUGAAGAGUUUGAUCAUGGCUCAGAUUGAACGCUGGCGGCAGGCCUAACACAUGCAAGUCGAACGGUAACAGGAAACAGCUUGCUGUUUCGCUGACGAGUGGCGGACGGGUGAGUAAUGUCUGGGAAACUGCCUGAUGGAGGGGGAUAACUACUGGAAACGGUAGCUAAUACCGCAUAACGUCGCAAGACCAAAGAGGGGACCCUCGGGCCUCUUGCCAUCGGAUGUGCCCAGAUGGGAUUAGCUUGUUGGUGGGGUAACGGCUCACCAAGGCGACGAUCCCUAGCUGGUCUGAGAGGAUGACCAGCCACACUGGAACUGAGACACGGUCCAGACUCCUACGGGAGGCAGCAGUGGGGAAUAUUGCACAAUGGGCGCAAGCCUGAUGCAGCCAUGCCGCGUGUAUGAAGAAGGCCUUCGGGUUGUAAAGUACUUUCAGCGGGGAGGAAGGGAGUAAAGUUAAUACCUUUGCUCAUUGACGUUACCCGCAGAAGAAGCACCGGCUAACUCCGUGCCAGCAGCCGCGGUAAUACGGAGGGUGCAAGCGUUAAUCGGAAUUACUGGGCGUAAAGCGCACGCAGGCGGUUUGUUAAGUCAGAUGUGAAAUCCCCGGGCUCAACCUGGGAACUGCAUCUGAUACUGGCAAGCUUGAGUCUCGUAGAGGGGGUAGAAUUCCAGGUGUAGCGGUGAAAUGCGUAGAGAUCUGGAGGAAUACCGGUGGCGAAGGCGGCCCCCUGGACGAAGACUGACGCUCAGGUGCGAAAGCGUGGGGAGCAAACAGGAUUAGAUACCCUGGUAGUCCACGCCGUAAACGAUGUCGACUUGGAGGUUGUGCCCUUGAGGCGUGGCUUCCGGAGCUAACGCGUUAAGUCGACCGCCUGGGGAGUACGGCCGCAAGGUUAAAACUCAAAUGAAUUGACGGGGGCCCGCACAAGCGGUGGAGCAUGUGGUUUAAUUCGAUGCAACGCGAAGAACCUUACCUGGUCUUGACAUCCACGGAAGUUUUCAGAGAUGAGAAUGUGCCUUCGGGAACCGUGAGACAGGUGCUGCAUGGCUGUCGUCAGCUCGUGUUGUGAAAUGUUGGGUUAAGUCCCGCAACGAGCGCAACCCUUAUCCUUUGUUGCCAGCGGUCCGGCCGGGAACUCAAAGGAGACUGCCAGUGAUAAACUGGAGGAAGGUGGGGAUGACGUCAAGUCAUCAUGGCCCUUACGACCAGGGCUACACACGUGCUACAAUGGCGCAUACAAAGAGAAGCGACCUCGCGAGAGCAAGCGGACCUCAUAAAGUGCGUCGUAGUCCGGAUUGGAGUCUGCAACUCGACUCCAUGAAGUCGGAAUCGCUAGUAAUCGUGGAUCAGAAUGCUACGGUGAAUACGUUCCCGGGCCUUGUACACACCGCCCGUCACACCAUGGGAGUGGGUUGCAAAAGAAGUAGGUAGCUUAACCUUCGGGAGGGCGCUUACCACUUUGUGAUUCAUGACUGGGGUGAAGUCGUAACAAGGUAACCGUAGGGGAACCUGCGGUUGGAUCACCUCCUUACCUUAAAGAAGC
rnacentral:rRNA from 1 species